rnacentral:lncRNA from 1 species
UUUAGUAUUCGAAUCUAUGGAGUCACGCACAAAAGUCAGACGAUGUGAAAAAAAUUGACCUAAGUCUAUAUGUUCAAUUUAAAAGUACAUGACUUGAUUGAACAAGUAGAUUAACUUGAUUGACAAUUAAGUUAUGGUCAUACGGGAUUAAACAGUUUACUAUGUUUAGCUAGCACUAAACAUGAGGUUCAGAUUCAAUUCUGAGAAUGAGCAAGAUUUGGUCUUUGAUCCAAAAAAAUCUAUGAGAGAUUGGAUUUAGGUGCUAAUUAAUUUCAGAUUAAAUCUGAUUUAAUUAGACUUAAUUGGAUUUCAAGUUAGACUUGGUCCUAAAUCGUAAAUAGUUUGAAAUUGACAGUCUAUUUGAAAUUGUUUCGAAUCAGGUUCGAAUUAAAUUCGAAUUGACCCAUAUUUGGAUUAGAUCCUUAGAGUCCACUUUUACUAGGACUCUCUCUCCUCAUGGCCGAUCAAGGGGUGAUGGGGUGUUGAUUGUUGCCGCCCCACCCUUGGAUGAAGGCAUGCGUGCGUGUAGGCGCCAAUCUUUCCUCGUUUAAGACUCCUUUGAUAAGAUAUGGAUUAAUUCAAAACCUGUUUGAAUUAAGAAUCCUAGUCUUAUGGGUUAUGAAAAAUCAUCUAUAAAUAAGAAGAAUCUCUAACUAUCAAAGUAUAACAAUUAGAUUGUGUGCUAAGGAGAGAGAGAGGAAGAGGAGGCAUCAAGAUAGAUUGGACAUCACCCAUCCUUGGACUCCCACCUUCCCACGGCGUGAAGGCCCUCUUAGGCAUCCCUCUUGCUAGUGUGAGUCAUCACACUAGAGGCUCUCUCUCCUCCCUUUGGUGCCUUACGAAGGUGCUUCAAUUCGAGGCUUCAUUCCGCUUUCCUGCGAAGCUUGAUGUGCACACGAAGUAGAGGGUUUGUAGAUUCAAACCUACGCGAGACUUUGAAUUCAAAAUCUUUGAGGAUUUGAUCCCUAUUCCGCUGCGUAUCAGGUAAAGAUCUAGUUUUUAUUUAGUUAUAGAAAAUUUUUAGAUGCAAUCCUGGCAAUCCAUCGUGUUUUUGAUAGAAACAGACUUUCUUUCACCUUCAACUCGUAUCAGAACCAGACUUUGAUACAUGGAUGCAUAAUUAAUCAUUUUUGAUUUAUUUACAUAUUGUAUGUAAUUAAGAUUUUAUGUUAGACAUUAAAUCUGAUUUAGAUCUAUUUAAAUAAAAUUUAUGAUCUGAUUUUGAUUAGAUUACAAGAAUCUAAUCAAUAGUUAGUUAAGAUUGUUAUAAAGUUGUUAUAACAUAAUUUUUCUUGUUGCUGAAUUUUGUUGGAAUAAUAAUCUGAUUUAAAAUCUAUUUUAAAUCUGUUUUAACAGAAUUUUAAAGUCGUUCUUUCGGUUAUGAAAUUGAACUUAUUUCAGAUCUGAAUUGAAUCUAUUUUGACAGAUUUUUAGAUCUGAUUUUUAAUAAAAUUCUGCAUAACAUCAAAUCAGAUCUAACCAAAAAAUUAAUCUUUAUGUGUUCAUAUGUUCUUAAAUAUUGCCUUGCGAUAAUUCGACCUAAUCGGACGUCGGGAACCAUUGUUAGAUGGUAACUUCGAUUAGUACAAAAAAUGAUUUCUGUGCUACCGGCUUAGUGUUCGAACCUAUGGAGUCAUGCACAAAAGUCAGACGAUGUGGAAAAGAAUUGAUCCAAGUCUAUAUGUUCAAUUUGGAAGUAGAUGACUUGAUUGAAUAAGUAGAUUAACUUGAUUGAGAAUUAAGUUAUGAAUCAUACAGGAUUAAACAGUUUACUAUGUCUAGCUAGCAUUAAACAUAAGGUUCAAAUUCAAUUCCGAAAAUGAGCAAGAUUUGGUCUUUGAUCCAAAGGAAUCUAUGAGAGAUUGGAUUUAAGUGCUAAUUAAUUUCAGAUUAGAUUUGAUUUAAUUAGACUUAAUUGGGUUCAUAAAUCCAAGUUAGACUUGGUCCUAAAUCCUAAAUAGUUUGGAAUUGACAGCCUAUUCGAAAUUAUUUCGAAUCAAGUUCGAAUUGAAUUCGAAUUGAUCCAUAUUUGGAUUAGAUCUUUAGAGUCCAUUUUUAUUAAGACUCUCUCUCCUCAUGGCCGACCAAAAGGCGAUGGGGUGCUGGUUGUUGCCGCCCCACCCUUGGAUGAAGGCGUGCAUGCAUGUAGGCGCCAAUCCUUCCUUGUUUAAGAUUCCUUAUUUGAUAAGAUAUGGAUUAAUUCAAAAUCUGUUUGAAUUAGAAAUCCCAGUCUUAUGGGUCAUGAAAAAUUAUCUAUAAAUAAAGAAACCUCUAACCAUCAAAGUAUAACAAUUAGAUUGUGUGCUAAGGAGAGAAAGAGAGGAAGAAGUGGCGUCAAGAUAGAUUGGGCAUCACCCAUCAUUGGCCUCCCACCUUCCCACGACGUGAAGGCCCUCUUAGGCAUCCCUCUUGCUGGUGUGAGUCAUCACACUAGAGGCUCUCUCUCCUCCCUUUGGUGUCUUGUGAAGGUGCUUCAAUUCGAAGCUUCAUUCCGUUUUCUUGCGAAGCUUGGUGUGCACGCGAAGUAGAAGAUUUGUGGAUUCAAACCUACGCGAGACUUUGGAUUCAAAAUCUUUGAGGAUUUGAUCCCUAUUCCGCUGCGUAUCAGGUAAAGAUCUAGUUUUUAUUAAGUUGUUAUAGAAAUUUUUUAGAUGCAACCCUGACAAUCCAUCGUGUUUUUGAUAGAAACAAGCUUUCUUUCACCUUCAACUGGUAUCAGAGCCGAACUUUGAUGCAUGAAUACAUAAUUAAUUAUUUUUUAUUUAUUUUCAUAUUUUAUGUAAUUAAGAUUUUAUGUUAGACAUUAAAUCUGAUUUAGAUCUAUUUAAAUAAAAUUUAUGAUCUGAUUUUGAUUAGAUUACAAGAACCUAAUCCAUAGUUGGUUCAGAUUGUUAUAAAAUUGUUAUAACAAAAUUUUUCUUGUUGCUGAAUUUUAUUGAAAUAACAAUCUGAUUUAAAAUCUAUUUUAAAUCUAUUUUAACAGAAUUUUAAAGUCGUUAUUUCGGUUAUGAAGUUGAACUUAUUUCAGAUCUGAAUUGAAUUUAUUUUGACAGAUUUUCAGAUCUGAUUUUUAAUAAAAUUCUGACAACGUCAAAUCAGAUCUAACCAGAAAAUUAAUCUUUAUGUGU